CCGGGCGGGAGCUGACCUGCCAAACCUUCCCAGGGCCGGGGUUGGGGAUGACAGGCUUGGCCGAGUGGGGCUGAAAAGGAGGCAUUUAGAACAGAGAGAACUAAUGCCCACUGCAGCUAUAGACGCCCUUCCCUGAAGCUCCACGCUCACAUUAGCUGCUGUAGACAUCUUCUGGUCAAGCUGAAUUUGUAAAACAGGCUGAAUUUAACCUUGGAAGUCCAGGGCUGUUUAGUCUGCUUCCCGGCACUAUCCCGCAGCAGCUAAGGGCAUGAGAGGCAGAUGGAAGGACCUGGACAUGGAACCUCCUCAUUUGCCACAAAACGGUUCAGGGUUGAUGAGUCUCCACGGUGUGCUUUGCUCUGAAGAGCAGAAGGCUUCGGUCCCAGCUGGUGUUGCCGAAGCAGCGCACUAAUUCCAUUGCAUG